ensembl:lncRNA
UUGUUUCCGGAUGGUGAUAGAACUGGACUAGCUCUCCUGGUGGUCACACAUCAAGGCACGGCGCUCUGAGAAUGGGAGGCGUUCGGCCAUUAUGCCAGUGAUGAAACGGGGAUGGUCAAAGAGUCCAAUGGGCUUACUGUGGAUCAUGAGGCCUGUGUAUGGCAGUGAAACAUGACCCAGGUUGAGGAAGAAGGAUAUCCGUACUCCACUGCUGGUUCAGAUCUCUGUGUACAGUGGCCACAUCAGCCAGGACUUCAGUGAGCAGGCUGCUGUAGCCUGUACAGUCGUAGAGCGCUGGUGUAUGGCCCCGUAGUCCAAAAGAUAGACAUCUACAAGAACGGAAUCCAGGGAACCCUUUUUAUACCAGCAGGUCCUGGACCAUUCCCUGCUGAGCUGGAGCUAUCUGGGGGAGGAGGGGGUCUGUUUGAGCAUCGCUCCUACCUGUUAGCAUCCUAAAGCUACGUCUCCGUAGUGCUGCAGUACCCCACGGACGUCUAUACAACGGUUUCCAUAGGAUCCAUAGUACUUUGAGCCCAGAUGUAUGGUGUGUAUACGUGGCAGCCAUGUUUUCCCUUUCAGAUUGUC